GUCAACAGAGAGACUCGCGCACAUUCAGUCCCCUUUUGCCCGUCAUGUAGUAAUCAUGUCAUGGAUGAUGGUCAUGUCUCCCUCUCUCCGUUACGAAUACUGAUUGGAUUGCUCAACAUGGUGUAUUUCACUUCAUCAAUAAAUAAUCAGAUAAACAUAGCCGGACAGAAAACAAACGUUCAGCAGGGAGAAUAGCAGAAUUUUUAAUUCUCAGCCCAAAAUUUUUAAAAUGCGUUGGGAAAUAGUAACUAUAUUAGCUUUUUGUACAUUUGGCGGAGAUAAAAAAUUUAAUUUAAAAAAAAAAUGAACCGUGGCAGGGAAACAUACUGGAUAUUGAACCAGUAAUUACAUAAAAGUCUGUUUCCGAUUAGCACAUCCAUCGCCUGAACAGAGUCGUUCUUAUCCUCGAAAUGGACAAGGGGGUGGCCCUGGAUUUUUUUAAACAUGUUGGAUGGUUUCGUGCGCCUCAAAGGGGUUGACCCUAUUGCCAUUUCGGUUCGCAAUGGCAAUAGCCAUAGAGGGCUAUUGCUAUUGUACUACUUACUAUUAUUACUAAAUUUUACACGUGUAAACUUUGUUUUAUAUAAAAAAAAGUGAAUCACGUUGAGGUUAAUAUUAAUGGAAUUCAACCUGUUGCUGUAUAUAUUACCCCUUUCCUUACGUAUAGCUUUUCCAAGAAUCACUUGAUUUGACCUUCAACGGUUAAGCUCGACAAGACCAAGGUGUCAACAUGCUUCACUAUAAUGUAAUACUGAAAAAUGUAUAUUAAGCAGUUUUCUUUUCACAUAUGAUACCGUGUUACCUUUUUUACCAAUCCUUUUUUUAAUGCUAACUCGUUUUCUCAAAUGUUAUACUUAUGCGAAUAGUAUAUCCCUAGUCUGACUCUGACCUAGCUUUAACCUAACUUUUACAACGACCUUGGACCAAUGAGGUACACAGACUUCGGUACACCAUUGGAUGAUGGAAUAUGUCAUUUAACUCAUUUUCAAUUCAUGCAUUGUAGCAUCGGAAAAAAAAACAUUUCUUAUAAUUCUUAAUUACGUUGUCAUGACAGAAAAUCAACGAAGAACGAACAAUUACAUUUACUUAAGCUUGUAAAAAACCUUAAUGGUGGAUAUUUAUUUCGCCAGUUUGUAACACAAAGUACAUGUAUAAUAUUUACUUCUUAUGACUUCUCCCGGCGACAGUUUUUCACAUUUUCGGUGACAAAGGAGUAGACAAGAGUUGCACUGUAUUCCACUAUCAUCCUUUUUGCUUUCCUUCUUGCAAUGACAGUGGAAAGUGUUGAUCUGUUUCUUCGUUUCAACUGAAAGUAAAAAGUAUUUUUAAUAAAUGGAAUUAUUCGUUUUCAGUUUAAAUUAUUACCCAUUUGUAGGACUGACGCCCAUGCAUCUUCAUCAAACAACUUCCGGAAUUUUUCCAACUUUAACUCAGGAUUUUGGACUGCACUGCUGACUUGCGCAGGCAUCUGAAAGACCAUCUCUUCAGUUACAAUGCGCUUCGAAAGAAGUAUUUCUCCGGCUUUUUCCCGUCCGAUAAACCAAGUCAGGAAUACUGCAAUCAAAGAAAAAUAAUUAUUGCGUGUUGGUGAGUAAAAGGAAUCAAUGAUUUUACUUGGUUUUUGAUCUGCCUUUUUUUUCGAAUGGCUUAGGGGCAUUUUUAUGAUGAUCCAGCCGUCUGGUUCCUCUCGGUCAUCCAGCUCGAGUUUUGGUGUUGGGGAGCAUAAGCAUCAUCAAAUCGUCUUCUACUCUUGGUCUUUUUAGCUUCCGGUUCUCAUCAGAACUACUUUGCUGGUCAUCUGCAGCUUCUGAUGGAGGUUCUAUUGGGCCUUAAUGGUGGUCCAAGUAGAUUGAUGUCAUUCGGGCGUCUGUAUCUGCCGUAGCUCGAACAACUGGAUCUGCCGGAGCUUGAACGAAUGGAUCUGCCGGAGCUUGAACGACUGGAUCUGCCGGAGCUUGAACGACUGGAUCUGCCGUAGCUCAAACAACUGGAUCUGCCGGAGCUCAAACGACUGGAUCUGCCGGAGCUUGAACGACUGGAUCUCUUUGAGUUUGAACGGUUUGAUCUGCCAAAGUUUUGUAUUAGAUGCAUAGGCUCAUUCCGUCGGAUGCAUAACUUGACCUUUUCCAGUACUUGGAGGUAUCCCUCGAAGGCAGGCAAGGGUACAUUUUGAAGUUCAUUAGCCAAGCUUUUGGCUAAUUGAAGGGCUCUGCUGUACAUGUCUUCUCGAGUGACCCGAUCUCGAUUUCUUCGUUGUUGAAUUACCACCGGUGACCAAGCUUCCGGGUGUUCGUCUUGUGAAUCCUCGUCCUAAACAUAAACAGAAACGAAGUUAUUAAAGUAAAAUCUCCGCUCUAUCAGAUAGGAAUAAGAGGUGUCGACGCGGAAGUCCAAAAUUAUUGAAGAAAGUACAGGAGCAACUAGUAAAAUCCAAAUUAGCAGUGUUACGGCCAGUGUUGGUUGCUGUGAUUAAUUGGUUCCCAUCCUGGCAAGAUGUAGUUGUCGCCUUGAAUUGUUCAAUUACCCGAUCCAACGCAUAAGGCGUAUAUAUUUUACGUAACUGCUCCAAGAUAGGAUGUAACUUCUGAACCGGAAAUCGAAUUUUCAACUCAUUUCCUUUCUUUUUUCGUUCAAACUCUCUCAUUUGGCUAAUGUCAAGCAAUACUUGUAUCAACUCGGGAAAUCUUACUUGCCGAUUACGGACGUGAAUACCGUUCGAUUCUGUUCGUCGUGUGAUUGUCCUUCAUGAAUAGAGUUCUUCUAUAGAAAACGGCCCAAUAUUCUGUAAUAUUAAACCAAUUGGUUUCGAAAUAAUGCCCAAGUCCGUCGUACGUGCCGACGUCGUCAUCUUCAUCUAAAAAAUUCCUUUUUUAAAAUAAAGAUUUCCGAUCCAGCGUAGACGGCUUCUUUGAACUGUUGGUAUAUCUCUUCCCGGAGAUUCUGGCUUAACUUGGCUUGGACGAGACGUUUGUCAACAACGCGUGGAAAAGGCACAAUUUCAAAGACGCUGAGGUGAAAAUGCGUUCUACGGCGUUCAUCUCUUUGCAAUCCUUGUCGGAUUACCUUGGAGAAAAUCUCUAGACCAGCGAAAAUGCUAGCUGUCGUCUCCUCGCGGAGAAACAUGUAGCAAAUAGGUUGUCCAAUGCCAAAAUUAUCUUCUAUAACAAUGGUGUAGAGGGGCAUCCCGGCUUUGUCCACUUUAUAUGUCCCGUCGAUCUCCACCACUUCACCAAAUUUCUUAAAUAAUUUUCUUUGCUCUUGGGACUGGAUGAAAAUCUUUACUACUUCAUUGUCUUCGUCGUGAACUAUUUUAACUACAUUUCCUGGUCUUUCACGAAGGCGUCUAAUAGUUCUACAGUAUUCUUCCAUUCAUCUCGUGGCAGUCCUAAAUUGCAACAAGUUUUAAUUGAAUACCAAUUAUAAGUAAACGACGUAACGUCUUUACCGAUCACUUUCUGCUUAAUUUUCUGUAUAUUCUUAGGUUUGAGAACAACGUUAAACUCAUCAUACACACGCUUCCGUACUUUUAAGGGGAUUGCGUCGUCACGCAUUCCAUCAGUGAUGUAUUCUAAAGCAGCAGGAUCU